UGGGGAAUAUUGCACAAUGGGCGAAAGCCUGAUGCAGCAACGCCGCGUGAGGGAUGACGGCCUUCGGGUUGUAAACCUCUUUUAGUAGGGAAGAAGCUAAAGUGACGGUACCUGCAGAAAAAGCACCGGCUAACUACGUGCCAGCAGCCGCGGUAAUACGUAGGGUGCAAGCGUUGUCCGGAAUUAUUGGGCGUAAAGAGCUCGUAGGCGGUUUGUCGCGUCUGCUGUGAAAUCCCGAGGCUCAACCUCGGGUCUGCAGUGGGUACGGGCAGACUAGAGUGUGGUAGGGGAGAUUGGAAUUCCUGGUGUAGCGGUGGAAUGCGCAGAUAUCAGGAGGAACACCGAUGGCGAAGGCAGAUCUCUGGGCCAUUACUGACGCUGAGGAGCGAAAGCAUGGGGAGCGAACA
rnacentral:rRNA from 1 species